rnacentral:misc_RNA from 1 species
GAUGAAGAACGUAGCGAAAUGCGAUACGUAAUGUGAAUUGCAAAUUCAGUGAAUCAUCGAGUCUUUGAACGCACAUUGCGCCCCCUGGUAUUCCGGGGGGCAUGCCUGUCCGAGCGUCAUUGCUGCCCUCAAGCACGGCUUGUGUGUUGGGCCCCGUCCUCCGAUCCCGGGGGACGGGCCCGAAAGGCAGCGGCGGCACCGCGUCCGGUCCUCGAGCGUAUGGGGCUUUGUCACCCGCUCUGUAGGCCCGGCCGGCGCUUGCCGAUCAACCCAAAUUUUUAUCCAGGUUGACCUCGGAUCAGGUAGGGAUACCCGCUGAACUUAAGUAUAUCAAUAAGCGGAGGA